CUACUCAACUACUUUUCCAUGUUUGUUUAUAAAGAUAUCAUGUUUAGUUUUUAAAACUAGACUUUAAAAAUUAUAUAGGUUUACACAGAAUAAAGAACACAGAGAACUCUUUAUUAAAAAUAAAAGUGCUUUCCUUCUGUCCUCCACCCCACAGUAACACUGUGGUCUUUGGAAUCUUGCAAAAACAUACACAAGGGUACGCAUAUGUACUUGUUUACUUCUGUGUAUUUUUUUUUUUUUUACAUAAAUGGAAUUGCACUAUAUAGUUCUGUAGCUCAGUUUUUAAAAUUUGGUAUUAAAAUGUUCUUUCAGUUAGGGCCAAAGGGCAUUUAACUUCAAGGUAAGACCCAUUCCAGGACGGCAGAGAUCAUGUCUGUCUUGCGUAUCCCUGUGUGAAUUUUGCCUGACAUGUUGCAAACACUCCGUAUGGAAGUCUUGAGGGUCUUCUGCCCCAGUCAGAAAACCUCUGGGAGAACAGUUAUCCCCAGACCUCAGACGCUCGACGGAUACAUGAGAAGCUUUCUUUGAUGGAUUCGAUGUCAGGAUCUCCAUGUGAACUUCCACUUAGAGGUGUCAUGCUAUGGUGAGUCCCAUUCCUAAGCAUGGUAAAAAUUUGGUGCCCCAAAGUCUAUAGGGGAGUGCACGUACAUGGCUGGGGAGGGAAUAAAGAGGCCAAAGAGGUCAGCAGCCCUUGGUGCUGCUGAAAUUCUCCCUAAACCAGCAAUCAAUAAAAUACAUCUUAUCUUCUUUGGAUUAGAAAAUUCAACUUUGAUAGCAGAACAAGUAUUCUUAGUAAUUAGUAAGAUUAUUAAUAAAGAAUCUUAGAUUCUUAGGGGAUUCUUUUAGUGAACUACAAAACUAGUUGUGUGCAUGCAUGUGUAAGCUGAAAUAUAUCAGUAACAGUAUUAAAUAAUGUGUGUAUUUGAGUUCUAAUAUAUCAAAUUACAAUUUAUUUAAGAUAUGCAUCCUAUAAUACUCUUCCUCACCAAACAGUUUCUAAUGUGAUAGUUGGUUUUUAAUUCUCUAGUGCUAGAAAAAGAAAGUGAUUCAUGUCACUGAAUUUGAGCAUCAUUUCAGGGCAUUAAAAAACCCAAAUAACAUUUCAGAAGACUUUUGAUCAUAAUUUUGGGGUUAAUAGAAAUUAAAAUCAAUAUAUGGUAGCUUUGAGUAAGAGACAAAACCUAUCUACUGGAGAGACUUCAAAGGUCAACGGAUCCCAGAAAGGCUCUAACUUAUUAGAGACAUUUAUCAUGCAUUGCCUUUGGGACAUUAAAAUGUCACCCUCAGGAUUUAUGGUUUUUGCAAAAUGUGUACAAUUUCUGUGGGGAAUUUUUCUUAUCCCAAAGGACAGGGAUAAUAGAAAGGAAGCCUUUUAUUAGGGCUUACUUUUAAAAUGUUCUGAAAGCACUAAAGAGUCAGGAUGACUGUUGUCCAGCUGGCUACAGGCAGUUGGCACAUAAAUCACAAGGAAUUGGCCAUAGUGAGACUCUGCACAGAACAGCUUGCACAAAUUGGCAACUGAUCAUUCCCUCUCCUUUAUUUCUGUAUAAACUGUUUACAGAAAACUAUGCGGCAGAGUGUCUGAGAAUAGUGACUUUCUAAUCCCUAGUAAUUCCUAGGAAAUGUAAUUGUAGGAACAAAUUUCAUAAAGUAUCUUCAGUCUUACAUAAAUCUGUGUAAAUCACAGAUCCCUUUAAAUGCCGUUUGGAUAGCAGAGCUCUAGCUGGAACUGCAACCUGACUUCCCUCUGGAGCUUCCUGAAGGCAGCUUGCUGAUUCCCUGGUGGAACCCUUGCCUUCCCAGACUGACCAACCCUUGCCAACAGCCAUCAGUUCUUUCCAGAUAAUUCGGGACAAUGUCACCCCCUUUGCUGUGUCAAGAACUUGCCCCUUGAAUUUUAAAAGCAUCUGCCUUUCAUAAGAAAACUCAAUUUUCUGCUGCUGACUUAUUUACACACAGAGUUGCAGAUGCCUAAAUUGAAGUGACUUGUUGCUAUUCUUGGCUGUGAACAGGCUCUCUCUGUUGAAAACUGAAAACCUGUGUGGUGGAUGGCACGAGUCCUGUUGAAUGGUGCAAACGUCCCCUGCACAAAAGCACUAUUAGGAUGAAUGAGAAAUGACAAAGUGAGAACUGGACAUAAUUUGUUAACAGCUUCCGAAGUUGAUGAGGAUCAAUGAAGAUCCUCUUGGAAUGCAGGGUAUCCAUGUUCUUCUUUCAACUUGCACAUCAUAAUAAAAUAAUAGUUUGUGUUUGUACAAAUGUAUAAAAUAAGUAAGUAUCAUGUUAAAGACAUAGAUCUGUGAACACAGAGCUGGUAAAGUUUUCUUUCUGCUGUUCACAUGGGGAAAAUCAGAUGGCCCAAUGUAGAAAUGGACACUGAAUUUGGUUGUCAUCCAAAUGGGUCCAUGUCACUCUUCAAAAUGUAUCUCCAGUCCUGCCCCCUUCUCCAUUUGUGCUGUCACUGACCCACCCUAGGCCUCUAGGAUCUCUCACCUGGAUGAUGUCUGUACCCUGCUAAAUUGUCCCUCUCAUUGGCUUCCAUUAAUUUAUCUUUUUGGACCAUUGUCAAAUUGUGAUCCAUAUAUUACCCAUACCUAUUAUGUCAUUCCCGUUUAUAACCUUUUGGAGUUUUUUCUCACCUUACAGAAUGAAGUCCAACUAAGACUCUCAGUGUCACCUCUGCCUGUUGCUCCAGGCUCAGUCCCACGCUUCUGUGGGCAUCCUAUGCUAAUAGGUUUGCAUUCCUCAUGCUAAAUGAUCUCUGUCACCUCUGUGCCUUCGUUUCUGUUGCCCUCUCUACCUGAGACAUUUUCCCCUUUCUCUUGGCUGGCCUAACUAUUGAUUAUCCAUUAAAAUUCAACUCCUAUACUGCCUUCUCCAAACAUCCUUCCCUGGCACACUGUCCAUCAGGGUAGGUAAGCUGCCCAGCCCCUUGUGGGCCCCCUAGUCCUGCAGGCUUUGCUCUCACUGCACUUGAAUAUUGGAGCAUAGUAACUGCAAUGUUUGGAGUGUUUUUCUCCCCUGCAAAGUUCACAUCUAACCCCCAAAUUGAUGAUAUUAAGAGGUAAGGCCUUUGAGAGGUGAUUAGGUCAUGAAGCCUCCAACCUCAUUAAUGGAAUUAGUGUCUUUAUAAAAGAGGCCCAAGGGGACUUGUUCACCCCUUCGGCCAUCUGUGAGUUGGAGAGCUAGCCCUCAAGAGACACUGAAUCUGGUGACAACUUGAUUUUGGACUUCCCAGCCUCCAGAACUGUGGAGAUAAAUUUCUGUUGUUUAUGAAUUAUCUGACCUAAGAUACUUUGUUAUAGCAAUCUCAAUGAACUAAGACAGUAAUCUAAUUAUGCAUCCUCUGGUCUAUGACAUGCUUGAACACAUAAACUGUAACUUAUUCAUUGUUGUGUUCUCACCCAAAUACAGCACCACAUCUGACAUAUAGUUGGUACCUCAUAAAUGUCUGAUGAAUGAAUAAAUGAGGCUGGAUAGGCAACAUGAGGUAAAAGAAGAGUUUAUAUUUUCAUACUAGGUUUAUGGGGUUUAUAGUAGGUUUUAGAUAAGAUUUAUGGUAGGUUUUACAUAAGUUUAUAUAAGGCUUAUAAGAAAUAUAUGCUUAUUUAUAAAUAAGUAGAAUAAUUAAAAAUAAUUUAUAGAGCUUAAAAACACAUUAGAGAGCAUCUAGUCCUAUGCUUUUCUUUUACAAAUGGGCAACCAGAAGCCCAGAGAAGUUAUGACCUGUCCAAGGCCCCACAGUAAGGUAAUAACCUCUGAACAGAUCCACAUAUAGUAUUUGUGGGGCCCACUGUAUGAAUUGAGGUCUGUACAAUAUAUGCUUUAAUAUUUAUGUUCAAGUAAAGAAUAUCACGAUUCCCUAAUGGCACAUUUAACCAUACAUAUGUACAAAUUAAAGAACACAAAGUGCUUAAUAUUGUAAACUGUUCCUCAGCCGCCAUGUGAAACUAAGGUAAAUACCACACUAACUCUUAAAUAUUUCUGGAACCACCAAUUCAAAGUUGAAGAGGAGCAAGAAAAUUGCAGCUCAGCACUACUGGGAAGUGAUACUUGGUUUUGCGAUUUGAAAGGACUUGACAAGUUAAUUAAUUUGUCUUUUUCUUUACCAAAGUGCUCCUGCGACCUAAUACUCCCCAUAUCCCAAAGCAUCGCCCAUCUCAGCUGUCAGCAGUGGCACAGCCUGCAAGACUUCAUGGCAUUUGGUCACAGUCCUUCUGUCCUGAUGACAUCAGGCGAAAGAAGUGCCACAGUGUUUCCCUGGGGCCUGAAGAGUAUUAAUCACACAGUCAGAUGUUGGGCUGUGUGAUACCAGGACUGAGUAUCCAUUUGUUGGUUAAUAAGUGUGUGUGCUUAUGAUAUGGGAAGUCCUCUAAAGCCAAGGGCCCAGGGCAAGAGUCCCUCUUGCCUCACUCUAUGAGCAAUAUUAAAUGGGAAAGAAAUUCAUACACAGUAACUAUCAAGCUCGCCAUUAAAAUGCCCUAUUAAGGUAUUAUCUGAGAAUUUAGAAGAAGGUAAUAGUGCCUUAGGGUACCUAAUACAGGUUUUUUUACAUUCUUAUGGCAUUGCAUUUAGGAUCAUCUAAAGUAUAAAGGCCUAAGGGGAAAGAACAAGAAACUGGGAAUUUGCAGUCCUGGAUUGUUUUCUUAAAUCUACUAAUUACCUACUGGGUAACUUUGAGAAAACACAACCUGUUAAUGGUUAGCCAUUUCAGUUUCUCUACCCAUAAAAUAAGCCAUAAAUUAUCUACACCCAUGCAAAAGUGCUGGGAGAAGAAAUGUUCAAAUGAAAGGUAUUGUAAAAUUAUAACAUGGUUUUACAAAGUUUAAAAGCUGCUCUGACCUCCACUUAAAUUUACAUGAUGUCAGACUUCCACAGAGAGGGUCUCCAAUAGAACUAGUCUUAGAUGCAGUCGUGUGUUUUCUUUUAGCUACUCAAAAUGAGUAACUAAGAAAGGUGUUUUAUAAAUCCAAUCUAUUUUCUUGAGAAAAUGAAUGGUUUACGUGUAACAUAUACCUAUCAUGUUAAAAGACUUUAUUGUGAAGAUAAGAAUGUUGACUGAGAGCCUCUUCCUUUCUAUUUAUAUCCCAUCUCUUGUCAGCAUGGUGCCUGUCCCCUUCUGGGCUGCCAGAGACUCCCUGCUUCUCCUUGACUGGUUAUAAAACUGCCAGUCUUUUGCCUUCCCGGGCCACAUUUAAGCUGUUCUGAGUUCUUGAAUCUGCCAGAACAACCUGUGAUUUGGAUUAAGGUUGUAUCAAGAAACUCAAAGACCCUGAGACAAAUGUGGUUAAAAGCAGAUAUUUUCUUGAUGUAGGAUUGGGGACCAACAUCACAAGCUUUAUUGAGGAGGCAUUCCAAGAGAGCUGACCACACCAAAACAGUCUCAUGUGUUCUGAAGGGCUAUGGUUUCCCUGCUGCAUGGCUGGAGUCAUUCUUCCCUCACAAAGCACAUUGUGCUUUAUAGAUGCAGAGAGAAUACACUUUGACCUCUAAUUCAGGCAUGGAAACAAGCAGUGCUGAGCUGGUCUCUGGUGACUCCCAGGGUCUGGAACCACUGGACAGAGCAAGGUUGGGGUGGGCUUUGAUGACCUCUUUCUGAGGUUCUAGGCUAACAAACUAAUCACAAGGAAUGGGCGACUCGUAGUGCUGCCUGGGAGGCAGAUGAUACACUUGCAUUUUCCUUUUUCCAUGGUGAGGCAGUUCCUCACUUUGAGAGAACCAUGAUUCUCAUGGCAUGUAUUUCUUAUUUUCUUUAGCUCCCUGUGCCAAACUCUCUCCUCAGAACCUGUCACAGCCUUAGCCACUAUAGAUGCUCAACAAAUAUUUGUUGAAUAAACAAAUAAAACAUCGCUUCCUUAUUCUUCUGUUGGUAUUCCAUUAAAAAAUGGAUACCCCACUUACAAGAACUUCAGAAGAACUUUCCCAUUCUAAAGUUCCCAGAAAUCCAAAUGGACAAAAUAUUUCCAUUUUAAUUUUUAAAGAUCAGAAGAAUGCAGUGACCACAGUUUAUAUUUUCCCUCCUAUUCUCCUCAGGGCCUGUGUUGCUCAUUUAAAUGCAAUUUGACGUAUGUUUGGGUCAGUGGCCUCAGUCCGGAGGCUCUUACAGUAACUUGGCACUGUGGAAAUCCCAGAACUUCGGCCAGGGUCUGGAGGAGACGCGUGGGGUUGGGGGCACUGAGGGCCACUCUCAUUAAGCCUCAGGCAGUGGUCCGGCCUGCCUUGGGCAGGAGAUCUCUGGACUAGUUAGCUUGGUUUAGCAUGGAAACAGUCAGCAAUGCCUGAGAAAGCCACGAGGCUGGUCAAGAUGACUAGGAAGAUUAUAAACCAGAAAACUUCCGCCUUGGUAUUUGAAAACCACAUGGAAUUUUACAACAUUCUUGCCUAUUAACUGCUGGGAAGGGCACUACCUUAUUGCCUUGUGCAUAAUGGAACCAAUCUUUCCCCUCAGAGGCCCCCGUGUUGCUUUGAUCAAGUUCAAAAGAUGAGGGGAAUGAUGACUAAGGGCCUUGGGAACCAGACUGAAGAAUCUCACAGACAUACUCCAGGGUUUUUUGGGGAUUGUUUGUUUUCUUUUCUGACGCAUCAUUUUGGUAAACAAUUCCUAUAGUCUGUGCACUUAUCAAAUUCCUUACCCAAAUAUUUGCUAUUUAUAAAAUAAUCAAGGAAACAGACUUGUGUUUAUUAUUCCUAAAUCAGCCACAGUUUGAUGAAUUAAAAACAGUCUUACUUUUUCCUCCUUCCUCUCCCUUUACCAGCCUCUUGUAAAAGUGCCAGCAUUAUACACCCAACUCUCUCUUUAGACAGUAAAAAUGAAAAAUAAAAGUGACCUUCGUGAACUGUGCAUUGCCUCUGCAUAGUCUGUUAGACUUCGGGCCAGCAGCCAACCCCCCUUAGCACCAGAGGUAGAUCUUUGGAAGCGAUUGAGUUGGAAAGGGAUACAGUAAAUGUCUGUUUCCGGUUCACAGGGGCCUCAGCGUCACCACAUCGUUUGGACGUCUGACCAGUUUCCUGACUUUGAGAGUCUCUUACUUUAAACAUGAGGGAUCAGCCCUAGAAAGGAAAGGAAAGACACACGCAAGAGUCUGCCUCUGACUCCACCGGCGGCCACUCUCAGGAUGGGUCCUCCAGACGGGAUUUAAACAGAACUGUUUUGAUAGGGACAGUGCUUUCUGUUGCUGUCCUGGGGCAGGGUGAUGGCGAGGACACAGGGUGCUUUCAGAUCCUCUGCGUGGACAAGACCAGCUCUGGGCCAGCUUCCAGGAAGCCCCACUGGUAGCGACAGAACAUGUCCAAUUCAGAAAGCCCUUCAGGGCUGGUUCAACUGGAUAUCGUAUUUAAAUGGAUCUAUUUAUAUUUCAUAUGUGUGAAAGAAAGGCUUUGUUGGAUGAACACAUUUACACUUUUCUUUUUUUUUUUUUUUUUACUGAUUAAAAUUUUAUUAUUUUGGCCAGGUGUGG
rnacentral:lncRNA from 1 species